CCAGUAGUUUUAAGUAGUUUAUUAUCAUUCAGAGGUUUCAUAUCAACAUGUCAGAAAAUGAUCACAUGACCAACAACAAGGGACAACUUUACAUAUGACCAACUGUAGGACAAGACAAUGGAACUUUUUUGGGGGAAGAGGUAGGAGGGGGAGAGAGGAUGGAGAGGGAGAGAGGUAGGAGAGGGAGCGGGGAGGAGAGGGAGAGAGGAGGAGAGGGAGAGAGGAGAGGGGGAGGGGAGAGGGGGAGGAAAGGGAGAGAGGGAGGAGAGGGAGAGAGGAGGAGAGGGAGAGAGGAUGGAGAGGGAGAGGAGAGGGAGAGAGGAGGAGAGGGAGAGAGGAGGAGAGGGAGAGAGGAGAGGGGGAGAGGAGAGGGAGAGAGGAGGAGAGGGAGAGAGGUAGGAGAGGGAGAGAGGUAGGAGAGGGAGAGAGGAGAGGGAGAGGGGAGAGGGGAGGAGAGGGAGAGAGGUAGGAGAGGGAGAGAGGAGAGGGAGAGAGGUAGGAGAGGGAGCGGGGAGGAGAGGGAGAGAGGAGGAGAGGGAGAGAGGGAGAGAGGAGGAGAGGGAGAGAGGAGGAGAGGGAGCGGGGAGGAGAGGGAGAGAGGAGGAGAGGGAGAGAGGAAGGAGAGGGAGAGAGGAGAGGGGGAGAGGAGAGGGGGAGGAGAGGGAGAGAGGGAGGAGAGGGAGAGAGGAGGAGAGGGAGAGAGGUAGGAGAGGGAGAGAGGUAGGAGAGGGAGAGAGGAGAGGGAGAGGGGAGAGGGGAGGAGAGGGAGAGAGGUAGGAGAGGGAGAGAGGAGAGGGAGAGAGGAGGAGAGGGAGAGAGGGAGAGAGGAGGAGAGGGAGAGAGGAGGAGAGGGAGCGGGGAGGAGAGGGAGAGAGGAGGACAGGGAGAGAGGAGGAGAAGGGAGAGAGGAAGGAGAGGGAGAGAGGAGGAGAGGGAGAGAGGAGGAGAGGGAGAGAGGAGGACAGGGAGAGAGGAGGAGAGGGAGCGGGGAGGAGAGGGAGAGAGGAGGACAGGGAGAGAGGAGGACAGGGAGAGAGGAGGAGAGGGAGCGGGGAGGAGAGGGAGAGAGGAGGACAGGGAGAGAGGAGGAGAGGGAGAGAGGAAGGAGAGGGAGAGAGGAGGAGAGGAAGGAGAGGGAGAGAGGAGGAGAGGAGGAGAGGGAGAGAGGAGGAGAGUUAGCGGGGAGGAGGGGGAGAGAGGUAGGAGAGGGAGAGAGAAGAAGAGGGAGAGGGGUAGGAGAGGGAGAGACCCCCUCCUCCUCAGGCUCUCCUCCCAUCGCCCAUAGCUCGGCUGGGGAGCUGCCUGGGGGUGAGGCGAUGGGUGAGGCGAGGAUCAGAAUGGGUAGAAGCUUGGGUCCCCCUUACUGGGGGGCUCUUCUCCAGGGGUUACCUGCACCUCCACUCCCUCCCCCCUCCCUCACCCCUACACCCCCCUCUGUCCCCUUCUCCACGGCCCCCUCAAUCUGUACCCCUACCGCACCUCCCACCUCAGGUUUGGGGGUCUCCUGCCCCCCCAAGGCCAUCGGGGCUUCAGUCGGGGGGUUCCCCAGGUGGGCGUGGCCGGGGUCAGGGGUCAGAGGUAAGGGGUCAAGGGUUAAGGGUGAAAGGUCAGGGUUCGGGUCCACACUCAGCCCCUGGCUCUGGUACGCUGGGAUCACUGGAGGCAGCAUCACCCUGGUGUAGACGAC
rnacentral:lncRNA from 1 species